UGAAGAAAAUCAUAAUAUGGUGUAUGUC
rnacentral:sRNA from 1 species